rnacentral:rRNA from 1 species
AUUGAACGCUGGCGGCAGGCCUAACACAUGCAAGUCGAGCGGCAGCGACUUAACUGAACCUUCGGGGAACGUUAAGGGCGGCGAGCGGCGGACGGGUGAGUAAUGCCUGGGAAUAUGCCCUGAUGUGGGGGAUAACUAUUGGAAACGAUAGCUAAUACCGCAUAAUCUCUUCGGAGCAAAGAGGGGGACCUUCGGGCCUCUCGCGUCAGGAUUAGCCCAGGUGGGAUUAGCUUGUUGGUGAGGUAAUGGCUCACCAAGGCGACGAUCCCUAGCUGGUCUGAGAGGAUGAUCAGCCACACUGGAACUGAGACACGGUCCAGACUCCUACGGGAGGCAGCAGUGGGGAAUAUUGCACAAUGGGGGAAACCCUGAUGCAGCCAUGCCGCGUGUGUGAAGAAGGCCUUCGGGUUGUAAAGCACUUUCAGUAGGGAGGAAGGUAGUGUAGUUAACACCUGCAUUAUUUGACGUUACCUACAGAAGAAGCACCGGCUAACUCCGUGCCAGCAGCCGCGGUAAUACGGAGGGUGCGAGCGUUAAUCGGAAUUACUGGGCGUAAAGCGCAUGCAGGCGGCCUGUUAAGUCAGAUGUGAAAGCCCGGGGCUUAACCUCGGAAUUGCAUUUGAAACUGGCAGGCUAGAGUCUUGUAGAGGGGGGUAGAAUUUCAGGUGUAGCGGUGAAAUGCGUAGAGAUCUGAAGGAAUACCAGUGGCGAAGGCGGCCCCCUGGACAAAGACUGACGCUCAGAUGCGAAAGCGUGGGGAGCAAACAGG